AUGGAAGCUGGAUUGGACUCAGCAGCUAAGCAGUGGGCUCCCAUGGGGUGGAGCCACAAAGCACAGAAACAUCAGCUGGAUGAGGAAGGAAGCAGCGGGGGCAUUUGCUGCUCACCUUACAGACAGGGCCCCCCAGGGAAUUCCCGUGCUAAGGUGACAGAGCCACACUCAACCUACUUGGACUGAAGGGCCACUACUUGGAAGGUGGCUGCCUGGGCCUGCAGGACGCUUUUAUGUAAGUGAUUAGUGAAGUUUUGUUCUAUUAAGCCACAGAGGUAUCGGGCCUAUUUGUUACCAAGUACAACCUAGCCUUUGCUGACUAAUCCAAUGUUGGUUGAAAAGUCCGGGGGUGCAUGGAAGCAUCUUCACAGCAAAUUAACUGACACCCCUUUGGUUGGCAUGCCUUCUUUUUGGUCUCCUUUUUAUUGAAUAACCUUCUUACUUAGUGAGACACCGAGAACACUUUGACUUUUCCUUCCAUCACUCCCAUGCUUCCCAAACCUGCUCCAACAUGCACCCUUUCUUUAGUUGCUCAUCUCACUUACCAGCCUUUGAAUAUCAUCUCCUUGGAUUUUCUCCUGUACCUCUGCUCUUGCUGAACCUUGGAAUUGGUCAGUACAUGCUACCCUAUUAUUAUUAUUUUUGUUUUUAAGGCUGCACCCACAGCAUAUGGAAAUUCCUAGGCUAGGGGUCAAAUCAGAGCUGCAGCUGCCAGCCUACACCACAGCCACGGCAAUGCCAGACCCAACCUGUGUCUGCAACCUAUGCCACAGAUCCUGGCAACACUGGAUCCUUAACCCACUGAGCGAGACCAGGGAUUGAACCUGAGCCCUCAUGGAUACUAGUUGGGUUUGUUACCCCUGAGCCACAAUGGGAACUCCCACACUACAUUCAUUACUGAAAGAAGAGUCCACCUCCAAUGCCAAGUUCACACACCUGCUCUCAGGGAUGGAGGGCUGACUCUCCCUACUUUCUGAGCGAUGGCAUUCCACUUGGUCUGGGGUUGGUCACACUCUACCUUAGUUGGCUAGUGGCACCUCGCUUUUCCACUCUGUUGUGAGUUCUGCAGAUGAAAUAACAAUGCAGGGCCGUGUAGACUCGUGCCUGGCCCGUGAGAUAUUUACAGACUGUCAAGGUUAAAAAUGUUCUCUUCUUCUUUGUAGAAAUAUGCUAAUCACAAUUACAGUUAUCAUUAGAUAGACACCCUUCCUGCCCUCCAAGAUUCAAGUCAGUACCGGGAAUUGCAUCAAUUAAAACAGUAUUUAAUUGUGAGACCUUCAGCAAGUUCGCUUUUAUGGACAUGGCUGUAGUCCACAAAAUGGGGUAAAUAGAGCAAAUAAAGCCGUCACUGUCAAGGUCA
rnacentral:lncRNA from 1 species